rnacentral:rRNA from 1 species
GCGCGCAGGCGGUUUCUUAAGUCUGAUGUGAAAGCCCCCGGCUCAACCGGGGAGGGUCAUUGGAAACUGGGGAACUUGAGUGCAGAAGAGGAGAGUGGAAUUCCACGUGUAGCGGUGAAAUGCGUAGAGAUGUGGAGGAACACCAGUGGCGAAGGCGACUCUCUGGUCUGUAACUGACGCUGAGGCGCGAAAGCGUGGGGAGCGAACAGGAUUAGAUACCCUGGUAGUCCACGCCGUAAACGAUGAGUGYUAAGUGUUAGAGGGUUUCCGCCCUUUAGUGCUGCAGCAAACSCAUUAAGCACUCCGCCUGGGGAGUACGGUCGCAAGACUGAAACUCAAAGGAAUUGACGGGGGCCCGCMCAAGCGGUGGAGCAUGUGGUUUAAUUSGAAGCAACGCGAAGAACCUUACCAGGUCUUGACAUCYUCUGACAACCCUAGAGAUAGGGCUUCCCCUUCGGGGGCAGAGUGACAGGUGGUGCAUGGUUGUCGUCAGCUCGUGUCGUGAGAUGUUGGGUUAAGUCCCGCAACGAGCGCAACCCUUGAUUUUAGUUGCCAGCAUUCAGUUGGGCACUYUAAGGUGACUGCCGGUGACAAACCGGAGGAAGGUGGGGAKGACGUCAAAUCAUCAUGCCCCUUAUGACCUGGGCUACACACGUGCURCAAUGGGCAGAACAAAGGGCAGSRAAGCCGCGAGGYUAAGCCAAUCCCACAAAUCUGUUYUCAGUUCGGAUCGCAGUCUGCAACUGGACUGCGUGAAGCUGGAAUCGYUAGUAAUCGCGGAUCASCAUGCCGCGGUGAAUACGUUCCCGGSCCUUGUACACACCGCCCGUCACACCACGAGAGUUUGUAACACCCGAAGU